rnacentral:piRNA from 1 species
UGGUUUCAGAGCGAUGCCUUGAUUUAACCGU